AGCAGCCGCCGCGGGAAUACGUAGGUGGCAAGCGUUGUCCGGAAUUAUUGGGCGUAAAGGGCUCGCAGGCGGUUUCUUAAGUCUGAUGUGAAAGCCCCCGGCUCAACCGGGGAGGGUCAUUGGAAACUGGGAAACUUGAGUGCAGAAGAGGAGAGUGGAAUUCCACGUGUAGCGGUGAAAUGCGUGGAGAUGUGGAGGAACACCAGUGGCGAAGGCGACUCUCUGGUCUGUAACUGACGCUGAGGAGCGAAAGCGUGGGGAGCGAACAGGAUUAGAUACCCGCGUAGUCCCUGUCUCUUAUAC
rnacentral:rRNA from 1 species